rnacentral:rRNA from 1 species
UAAGAGUUUGAUCAUGGCUCAGAAUCAACGCUGGCGGCGUGCCUAACACAUGCAAGUCGAACGCGAAAGUCCCUUCGGGGAUGAGUAGAGUGGCGUCCGGGUGAGUAACACGUGGGUAAUCUACCUCUGGGUGGGGAAUAACUUGCCGAAAGGCGAGCUAAUACCGCAUAACGCAGCGGCACCUAAUGGUGAAUAGUUGUUAAAGCGGGGGACCGUAAGGCCUCGCGUCUGGAGAGGAGCCCGCGGCCGAUUAGCUGGUUGGUGAGGUAACGGCUCACCAAGGCUGCGAUCGGUAGCUGGUCUGAGAGGACGGCCAGCCACACUGGCACUGACAUACGGCCCAGACUCCUACGGGAGGCAGCAGUGGGGAAUCUUGGACAAUGGGGGCAACCCUGAUCCAGCCAUGCCGCGUGAGCGAUGAAGGCCCUAGGGUUGUAAAGCUCUUUCACCCGCGAAGAUAAUGACGGUAGCGGGAGAAGAAGCCCCGGCUAACUCCGUGCCAGCAGCCGCGGUAAUAC